GUGUGUGUGUGUGUGUGUUCUUGUUUAUAUGGUAUAGGGGGACAUUUGACCUGAAAUCUCACCAGCACUAUGAGGACAUUUUGGUUUAUGAGGACAUUUUCAAUGUCCCCAUAAGUCGGGCACUGUAGAAGUACUUAUUUCAUUGUUAUUAACUAUGUCCUGCUUUUUUAACUCAUGUCCUAAUAUACCAUAAAGACCUGGUUUUGUUGUGUAUCACACACAGCCCAUACUCCCCCUAUGUCUGGUUGUUGGUAGUGCAGCUUGAUACGAUUUUUUUUCAUUGGCUCAUGGGUUGUAUGCAUGUCUGAUCACCGAUUGGCUACUGCUUCUGUCAAUAACGGGGACGAUCGUUGAUUCGCGGUUGCGGCUGUGAGUCACCGCAUUCUGGCGGCAAACUAUCAACUUUCUAUGUCGCGAGCCUAUAGCUAGUGAAACCCCGCCAAGUUAUGCUGAAGUUUAUUUUACCUCAGAAGACAUCACCUGAAAGAAACCGCGACGCGAAGAGGACUUUUCUAAUGGUUAUCUUCACUACUAAAUAGGUAAGUAAUUUUUCUAUUCACACAAUUGAUCAAAUGUAUUAUUUAGUUUACAAUUUUAUAGCUAAAAUAUAUAAAAUGUGCAGUUUAAACACAAACGUGAACAGGGUAGAGUAAUGACUGCUAUAGUACUUGUAGCUUGGUAAUUAUGUACUGUACUUCUCCUGUUCUGUUGUUCAAGCAGGCUAAUGGGUUAAUACUACUGAGAUUAAACUUGCGUUGAUGUUAUUGUUGGAGUGUCUCGCAGUUUUAUAGUCAGUCCUGAGUGUUUUUGUAGUCUGGCUAAUUUUUUUUUUUUUUGCAUGUGCUUAAAACAUUUGUUAAUAUCGUAUUUCUGUCCGAAACGUGAGUUAAUUGUUGUCGUCUGCUUGUUAGCGGUAAGUUAAGUAAUUGUUUCAAGCUAACGUUAGCGAAUGUAAUGAUGGACAUUCAAUGGGCUCUGAAGUGCCAGCAGUUUCUUCUCUCAAAAUGAUUUCGCUUUUAGUGUUGUUUAGAAACUGUAUAAAAAGCCAAUACAUGGCUUUGUGUUUGGCCGUGUUUGAGGAAUGACAAGUGUUCCUCUUGUCAUGAUCUGAUAAUUUGACUGAUGUAUCCCUCAUUCACCCAAAUAGGUGAGUAAUAGUAAUAUAAUAUGAAUAUAGUGUAUUGUCAAAACACUUGGCCGAUGUAUUUUGUAAUUUUAUUUAGGCAUAGUGGCUGGGUAAGUUUGACUCUGUGUUAAAUAGUGAAGGCCUUUUUAACACAUGUUAAAAAGGCAUUCAGGCGUUGUUGCUCAACUGCGGGGGUCCUGUGCGGUCUAAUAGUAAGAACAAGGGGAACGAGUGGCAAGUACAUUGAUAGGUCUACCUGUUGUGGCUGAGUAGCCCCAUACUAAAGCCACAAUUGAUAUUGAGUUGGAGAACUGUCUUUCAUCACUCAUAGUUCACUAUUACAGUUGGGUUCAAAUAACCCUGUAUGUUGGGUUGUGAUGUAAACGCAGCACAUUUGGUCAGAUGAUUGACUUGGUAUUUCAUAAGUGAAGAAAUAUUUAGACUUUGUAUUUCACAAGUGAAGAAAUAUUUAUACGGUUAGUAACUGAAUGUGGCUGCAUAUACAUGGGGUUGGAAUGACAACAACCAGGACAGUUGCUCUGGAGCUGAUUUAGAGACCCUUGUUAAGGAACAUAUAAACAACAAUGAGCCUCAAAGAAAGGAGAGGAGGAAGGGGCAGAAAUCCUGAACAAGAUGCACUAUAUUAUAUUUCCAAUUCACUGGACAAAGUUGGUUUUCUAAAGAAGUUCAUUAACCCCUUCAAAGGUCAUGGAGUAUUCAGCAAUAGCUACUUUGGAAAAGGAGACUUCCUGCUGGAAUACAGAGGGGACUUUAUUACAUUUGAUGAGAGCAAAAGAAGAAGAAUACAAUACAGUGAUGCCCUUAAUGUUUUCAUGUUUGACCUAAGUUUCAAUGGGAAACUGUGGUGUAUUGAUGCAGCAAACACUGAAUCACUUGCCAGAUUUGUCAACGAUGACCAUAUCAAUCCGAACAGCAAAAUGAAAAGGCUAACAGUUGGAGGGAAGCCCCAUCUCUGUUUAUUUGCAACGUCCGACAUAAAACCUGGAGAGGAAAUUUCCUAUGAUUAUGGUGACUCGGACUGGCCGUGGCGAAAUAAGGUAAAUUCUAAUGUUCUUUGAAGCAUAAUCUAAGAUACAGUGGCUUGCCAACACUAAGUAUACAAAACUCUUGGACAUAUACAUUUUGUGUAACAACCUGGAAUGAAAAUGUAAUUGUAGUCUUUGCCAUUAGAUUUGCACAACAUACAAAUUAUUCCUUUCAAAACAAGUUGAAAAAAAACAAACUGACAACUCUUUGUUGUAUAAACAGACGAGUAAAAAAUUUAAGGGAAACACUUCAAGAAAUUAGUGGAGGAAUAUUACGAAUUACGAUGCAUCCAUUUAGGUGUACUGUGUGAUACAAUUACCCGGUGCCCUAACAUCUAAAUCAUUAAAUACUUUGGAUAUUGUCAAUGUUCAUGUAAUCAACCAGGCAUGAGGGGUGUGGUAUAUGCCCAAUAUACCAAAACUAAGAGCUGUUUUUAGGCACAAUGCUUCAUGGAAUAUGUUGGCAAUACACCAUAAACCUCUGCUGGGCCUUGUUGCUCUACUGAAAUAGUUCCCAAUGCAAUUAGAGAAUUAAAGUGAUAUCAUAGCCAAUAUAUAUGGGACCGU